rnacentral:rRNA from 1 species
GACGUAGGGCGCGAGCGUUGUCCGGAUUUAUUGGGCGUAAAGGGCUCGUAGGCGGUUUGUCGCGUCGGGAGUGAAAACCUCGGGCUUAACUCGGGGGCUUGCUUCCGAUACGGGCAGACUAGAGGUAUGCAGGGGAGAACGGAAUUCCUGGUGUAGCGGUGGGAAUGACGCAGAUAUCAGGAGGAACACCGGUGGCGAAGGCGGUUCUCUGGGCAUUACCUGACGCUGAGGAGCGAAAGUGUGGGGAGCGAACAGG